ACUGUCCAUCACAACAACCUUCAAAGCUCAGGAGAAAUACUCCCUUUGUGGCAGAACCAUUGGAAGGGGGCAGAAAAAUGGUGUUGAGUCAUGAUUGCUCCACGCAAACAGAUCAUGAGCUUAUUUGAAAUAAGAUAUACCAGUGGACAAUAGAGAAUCAGUGAUCAGGGUUUGGGAACUGAUAGCCUUCUGGAUGAUUCAGACUAUAAUUUCCACAGCCCCCUUACCAUUCUGCCUGGAGCUUCUCAGGAGUCCAAAAUACUUGGAAGUCCAAACCUUCAUCGCCCCUGCUGUAGGAUCAAGAUGCAAGAUGCUUGCUUCUGUCUUCCUUUUUUUUUCUCCUGUGAAAUGGUACUGACUAAAGCCUGUGAUGAUACUGCAGAAGCAUCUUGAAGAGAUGUUGAGCAGAAGAGUGAACUCUGCCAAAGCAGAAUCUGUGUCUGCAAAGUCUGUGUCGGUAAUUCAGUCUAAAAGGAAGAAACACAGAAAGAGCUUACAUCUUAAAUGUGUGGAUGAAGCUACAGUUACUGGAGGGGCCUGCAGCAGGAAGCCAGGCUGACGGACAGAGAAAAAUUGCACUGAAAAAACUCUAAAAUCUCUAUGAAGACAAUGAUAAAAAUGAGCUCUCUUUA